AUCGGAAUUACUGGGCGUAAAGCGUGCGUAGGCGGUUAAUUAAGUCAGAUGUGAAAGCCCCGGGCUUAACCUGGGAACGGCAUUUGAUACUGGUUAACUAGAGUUUAGUAGAGGGGAGUGGAAUUUCAGGUGUAGCGGUGAAAUGCGUAGAUAUCUGAAGGAACACCAGUGGCGAAGGCGACUCCCUGGACUAAAACUGACGCUGAGGUACGAAAGCGUGGGUAGCAAACAGGAUUAGAUACCCUGGUAGUCCACGCCGUAAACGAUGUCAACUAGCCGUUGGUCCUAUUUACAGGAUUAGUGGCGCAGCUAACGCAUUAAGUUGACCGCCUGGGGAGUACGGCCGCAAGGUUAAAACUCAAAUGAAUUGACGGGGGCCCGCACAAGCGGUGGAGCAUGUGGUUUAAUUCGAUGCAACGCGAAGAACCUUACCUACCCUUGACAUCCAUAGAAUC
rnacentral:rRNA from 1 species